UACGUAGGGUGCAAGCGUUGUCCGGAAUUAUUGGGCGUAAAGAGCUCGUAGGCGGUCUGUCGCGUCUGCUGUGAAAACUCGGGGCUUAACCCCGGGCCUGCAGUGGGUACGGGCAGACUAGAGUGCGGUAGGGGAGACUGGAAUUCCUGGUGUAGCGGUGAAAUGCGCAGAUAUCAGGAGGAACACCGACGGCGAAGGCAGCACUCUGGGCCGGUACUGACGCUGAGGAGCGAAAGCAUGGGGAGCGAACAGG
rnacentral:rRNA from 1 species